AGUCCCGUAACGAGCGCAACCCCUAUCCCUGGUUGCUAGCAGGUAAUGCUGAGAACUCCAGGGAGACUGCCGGUGACAAACCGGAGGAAGGUGGGGAUGACGUCAGGUCAUCAUGGCCCUUACGGCCAGGGCUACACACGUGCUACAAUGGCGCGUACAGAGGGCUGCCAACUCGCGAGAGUGAGCCAAUCCCUUAAAACGCGUCGUAGUCCGGAUCGGAGUCUGCAACUCGACUCCGUGAAGUCGGAAUCGCUAGUAAUCGCGAAUCAGAAUGUCGCGGUGAAUACGUUCCCGGGCCUU
rnacentral:rRNA from 1 species